UGAGCAACCUGCCCUUAGCUUUGGGAUAACCCUCGGAAACGGGGGCUAAUACCGAAUGUUCACUGCCGGGCGCAUGUUUGGUGGUGGAAAGUUUUUCGGCUGGGGAUGGGCUCGCGGCCUAUCAGCUAGUUGGUGUGGGUAAUGGCCCACCAAGGCGACGACGGGUAGCCGGCCUGAGAGGGUGACCGGCCACACUGGGACUGAGACACGGCCCAGACUCCUACGGGAGCA
rnacentral:rRNA from 1 species